rnacentral:lncRNA from 1 species
AAGAUGUGAAGUUACAUCAAUAUACUUGCAAACAUAAGACAGAGCACAGACUUCAUAUCUUUGCUAUCGGCUAGAGCUUCAGCUCCGAUCCCUAAGUUAAUAUUCACAUCUUCUCAGUAACAAUGCAGUUAUGCCCAACUUCUGGUCACACAAGGAUCAUGGACUGAUUACAGGUCACGAUUACAACAUGAGCACAAGAGCAAGCAUACACAUGCCAAAAGACAGAAUAUGCGUUGACUGAAUAACCUGCACGGAAGGCAUUAGCACUACAUUAAUGUCCCUAAAAUCUACACCAAAAAUGUAGCAAAAAUCCUGACAAUUAGAAUAUAUUGCAAAACAGAAUGCCAAAGACAGUUCAGUAUAUAUUACCAAUGCAACUCAGUUAUCAACAAAAUGAGCUAACUAAUUUAACUGGGCAAAAAUGGAUUUGAUUGUGGUAACCAGUUAGAACACAAGGUAACAAUGUCUCACGUGCUUGAGGCUGGUGCAGGGUAGGUUGGACCUAGCGAAGGACUGGAUCCAUCGGUGCGAUUUAUGCGGCCAUAUCUAUCUGCAAGGGCGAACGGCGAGAUGGUCAUCGAAGAAGCAUUAGAGCAACAAAAGUCGUCGUGAACCUUUGGUUCUAUGGAGGGCAGGUAAAAGUAAAAUUUUGUUCCAAAAUUAUUUGAUAACAAGUUAAGUUCGAAUGUGAAAUUUGAGAUUAUAACAGUACAAAAAAUAACUAUGAAAUGCUGAGGAUCAUCUCCCUUCAGAAAUGUCAUCAAUUAAGAAUGCUAAAAAGAUCAUCACAAAUUACCUGAAGGCCUUAUCUCUGCUGUAAAGAGAUGAUUGUAGGGGCACUUAUACAAAGACAAUGUCUUCUCCUCAAAGUGCACGGCCAACGCGGAAUUUGCUGCCUUCAGUCUGUCCUAAUUUUGCCAUGCACCCCAUGUCUGAUUAUCCACAAGAGCUCUGACAAACAACGAAUCAGCUGGACCAUGAAACAGAAGGACAAUAAAUUUACGAGGAAGGUAAUUU